AUUGCAUCAAAACCAAAUGGGAACAGCUGUAUAUAGCUCAAUUUAGUCAGACUUUAGAAAAACUUUAAUUUCUUUUAAUUUGGCACUACACACACGCACACACUUAUAUAUAGAUGUUCAUGGAAUUGAAGUUUACAAAGCUGCACCAUUUUAUUCUUCUUCUCAUUUAUAAAUUUUUCUUGGUAUUUGUGUUUUUCUUGAAGCUGAGGAAAAUAAAAUUAAGAGCCAUGUCUAGUAAAUAUGUAAAAUGCUUGUUUUUGUUUCUCAUAGCUUUUAUUGCCAUAGAUCAUCACCCACAGAGCUCUCAAGCCACAGCUGCUAUUCUUAAUCAACAGAGAACAUUCUCGAACAUUGGAUUAGUGUGCCACUGUUGUGAUGAAGCAAAUGGGGAAUGCAAAGACAAAUGGGAGGGCAACUGCCAAAACAAGCUUAAAUGUGUUCCGUGGAAGCAAUUUUAGUCAAGAAGUUGUAAUAUUAUUGUCAUUUUUUUCAUAUAAUAUAUAAUAACAAUAUGAAAUGCAUGUAUAUCAAAUUAAUGCGCAUGUGACACGUAAAAAUAAGGCAUAGAAAUAUUUAUAUUAUUGAAAGUUUAAAUUUAAUAU